CGCUGACCUUCCAGGCCUUCUUGAGGUCAUGGGGCUUCUUGUACGGAGGCGGGCCCUGGUCCUUGGGGAUGCCGAGCUCCGGCCACCACUCCUCGUCGCCGGUGGGCCACCACGGCGGAGGGACGCCCUUCUCGAGCGGGUACCGCCGCUGCGGAGGGUCGCAGUGCUGCAUGAGCGCCGAGAGCAGCGACCCGAGGGUGGUGUCCUGCAGCUCCUGCAGCGAGUGCGGGCUCCCGGUGCCGGAGGCGAGCUCGCUCUCGAAGCCCGGGACGGCGUUGUCGGCCUGGUACUUGGCGAUGGCGGCGGGGCCGUUGCGGUCGAAGCGGACCUUCUCCUUCCACCAGCCGCGGAGGUUGUCGGAGGCGCCGCUCACCGGCUUGCCCUUCUCCGGUAUGAUACCGUAGACGAAACCCUGAGCUUUGCAGACCUCCAUCAUCUUAAGCAUGUAUUUGAGGAUACCAUCUUGAGCCCUUGACAUUUUCUUUCUCCGGG
rnacentral:misc_RNA from 1 species